rnacentral:rRNA from 1 species
UGGGGAAUAUUGCACAAUGGGCGAAAGCCUGAUGCAGCAACGCCGCGUGAGUGAUGAAGGCCUUCGGGUUGUAAAGCUCUGUCUUUCGGGACGAUAAUGACGGUACCAAAGGAGGAAGCCACGGCUAACUACGUGCCAGCAGCCGCGGUAAUACGUAGGUGGCAAGCGUUGUCCGGAUUUACUGGGCGUAAAGGAUGCGUAGGCGGAUUUUUAAGUGAGAUGUGAAAACCCUAAGCUUAACUUGGGGACUGCAUUUCAUACUGGAAAUCUAGAGUGCGGGAGAGGAGAAUGGAAUUCCUAGUGUAGCGGUGAAAUGCGUAGAGAUUAGGAAGAACACCAGUGGCGAAGGCGAUUCUCUGGACCGUAACUGACGCUGAGGCAUGAAAGCGUGGGUAGCAAACAGGAUUAGAUACCCUGGUAGUCCACGCCGUAAACGAUGAGUACUAGGUGUAGGAGGUAUCGACCCCUUCUGUGCCGCAGUUAACACAAUAAGUACUCCGCCUGGGAAGUACGAUCGCAAGAUUAAAACUCAAAGGAAUUGACGGGGUCAUAGC